rnacentral:lncRNA from 1 species
AUAGAGAAAUAAUAAGGUACACUUGAACAUGGAGAGAUAAGAAAACGGGAGUAUUAUAUUCAAGUUUCAUUUCAUUCCUUUCCCACUUUUAUCAUAUAAUUUCUUGGGUAACCUCUUCUCUGAAAACCUCAACAAUUUUGUGAUCAAAUAUAACCCGUUGUAUUCUUAUUAGUUGAGUAACUACCUGCCCCACAUUUACCCUUUGAUUUCCAUUAGAGGCCAGGCUGACUUUAUUAUCAAUAAAUCACAAAAAACCAUUACCGGUUAUGCAUACCUCACUCUUAUUUCCUUUCACUCUAAUACACCUCCUCUUUUAAUAUGAUUUAAGUCCCUUAAAUUCAAUUGAUUGCCUUGAUUCCAUACUAUGACUUGAAUAGAAAAAUCAACCUUCUCAUUUUGGGUACAAGCACGUCCUCUCUUUCCUUCAACCAUUAUGAUCAUCAUACUCAUACCACCAUCUUUGUCAUAAAUCCUUAUGUGAAAGGCAAGAGCGUACCUUAUUCUUCUUUGUGUCAUUUCAAUGAAGGCCCUAAUUGAAAGCUAAUUUUCAUAUAGUUACUUCAUUCCUUCCGAGACUCAAAACCAACCUCUUCAUUUAGUUUCAUUUUCGUGGAACACCUAGAGCUCUGAGUCCAAAUCCCUUUGCGAAUUUUCUUGUGGAUCUUUAGAGUCUAUGCUAGAUUUCGUACGAUUAGGAAGGGAAGCUUACAAGUAAGGGCUUUUUUCCCAUAGGUUCUUAUUAAAUGUUAGGACUGUGUUAUUAAAUAGUGGUAGCAAUUCUUGUCUCUUGAAAAGAAAAAUAAUUAAAAUAUUUUCUUACGUGGUAAAAUCUAAUAUUUUCUUAGUGGUAAAAUCUAAUAUUUUAUAAAAGUGAUUAUUUUAAUUGAGUUUUAUAUGAUAGUUGUGUAUGAUGUGAUGUGGAAUGUUAAUUGUAUUUUAUUUUAUUAUGUUUAUAUGUUUUUGUGAUGCUGAGAAGGACAUGUUAGAUUUUGAUUAAUUAAGGAAAAUGAAAAGAGAUGAAAAUGUGAGUCUUAUUGAAAAGAUUGUUUUGAUCAUGUUCAUGGUGAUGUGAGAUAUAUAAUUAUUUUCUGUGUGGUGCCUUUGUGGCGGGUAAAUAUCAUAUUGCAUUGUUGUGCUGUGGCGGGUUACUAUUAUAUUCUGUGUGGUGUCUUAGUGGCGGGUUACUAUUAUAUUCUGUGUGGUGCCUUAGUGGCGGGUUACUAUUAUAUUCUGUGUGGUGCCUUAGUGGCGGGUUAAUAUCAUAUUGCAUUUAUUUUCAUGAUCAUGCAUGGCAUAUGCAUCUGUGUGGUGUCUGUGUGGCGGGUUAUAUCCGGAUCAUAUAGUUAUAAGAGCAUGCAUCUUACGCAUAAGUGCAUUGAGUCUGUUGUAUAUAUGUGAUUGAUUAUGGACUUAAAACUAUUUUAUUGUAAAUAAGAUGUGUGUGAACCUUACUUUAAUUUGAAGCACAUGACUUGAAGGUAUUUUUAUUAAUUCUUGUUGAUUGAUAAGUUUUGAUAUUAUCUAAUAUAUGACAUAGUUUCUGGUGCUUUGAGUAUGAACCAAUUUGGAUAAGGAAAUUGACCCUUACACUAACAUUUUAGGUACCAAAGAAGAGAUGGUCUAUGCUUUGAAGUUUUUGCUUGAAGUGCAUACGGGGGGACAAAAUUGGGUUUUUGAUUGAAUUGUAACUUUAGUAGAAAUUUUUGAAGGAUAUUAGUUUGAGUUUUAAUUAAAUUAUG